GCAAGUCGAACGAGAGAUGAGGAGCUUGCUCUUCAGAUCGAGUGGCGAACGGGUGAGUAACGCGUGAGGAACCUGCCUCAAAGAGGGGGACAACAGUUGGAAACGACUGCUAAUACCGCAUAAGCCCACGGCUCGGCAUCGAGCAGAGGGAAAAGGAGUGAUCCGCUUUGAGAUGGCCUCGCGUCCGAUUAGCUAGUUGGUGAGGUAAUGGCCCACCAAGGCGACGAUCGGUAGCCGGACUGAGAGGUUGAACGGCCACAUUGGGACUGAGACACGGCCCAGACUCCUACGGGAGGCAGCAGUGGGGAAUAUUGCACAAUGGGGGAAACCCUGAUGCAGCGACGCCGCGUGGAGGAAGAAGGUCUUCGGAUUGUAAACUCCUGUUGUUGAGGAAGAUAAUGACGGUACUCAACAAGGAAGUGACGGCUAACUACGUGCCAGCAGCCGCGGUAAAACGUAGGUCACAAGCGUUGUCCGGAAUUACUGGGUGUAAAGGGAGCGCAGGCGGGAGAACAAGUUGGAAGUGAAAUCCAUGGGCUCAACCCAUGAACUGCUUUCAAAACUGUUUUUCUUGAGUAGUGCAGAGGUAGGCGGAAUUCCCGGUGUAGCGGUGGAAUGCGUAGAUAUCGGGAGGAACACCAGUGGCGAAGGCGGCCUACUGGGCACCAACUGACGCUGAGGCUCGAAAGUGUGGGUAGCAAACAGGAUUAGAUACCCUGGUAGUCCACACCGUAAACGAUGAUUACUAGGUGUUGGAGGAUUGACCCCUUCAGUGCCGCAGUUAACACAAUAAGUAAUCCACCUGGGGAGUACGACCGCAAGGUUGAAACUCAAAGGAAUUGACGGGGGCCCGCACAAGCAGUGGAGUAUGUGGUUUAAUUCGACGCAACGCGAAGAACC
rnacentral:rRNA from 1 species